CAGUCAGCCUGCAUUCCUUCUCACUCACCUUGUGUCGCUGGCGGGGGAUGUGGCAUUUCAGCAAAUCGUACAUUUGGAGCGAGCAGUCAGCGCGGAGCUGAGGCGGAGAAGGGUACUGAGAGAGGAGCAGGAACAAGAGAAGCAGGGCAAUAGCAAGCAGCGCAAGAGUAAGGGGAACGAUAGUGCAAUGGAGGAAGAUCUGGGUCUUGUUGGGGCUUCUGCUGAUGACAUUGAAGCUGAACUGAUACGGAAAAUUUGUGACUCUGAGCUUCUUGGGGGGCAGCAGUAUCUUUCUGCCUUUUUGCCUUUGGUCCUCCGUGUCUGCAAUAACCCUGGGCGAUACAGUGACCCCGACCUCUGCACCGUGGCUACCUUGGCACUGGCUAAGUUAAUGAUGAUCAGGUAACUUAGGGGUUGUU